rnacentral:rRNA from 1 species
ACCUUUUGUAUAAUGGGUCAGCGACUUAUAUUCUGUAGCAAGGUUAACCGAAUAGGGGAGCCGAAGGGAAACCGAGUCUUAACUGGGCGUUAAGUUGCAGGGUAUAGACCCGAAACCCGGUGAUCUAGCCAUGGGCAGGUUGAAGGUUGGGUAACACUAACUGGAGGACCGAACCGACUAAUGUUGAAAAAUUAGCGGAUGACUUGUGGCUGGGGGUGAAAGGCCAAUCAAACCGGGAGAUAGCUGGUUCUCCCCGAAAGCUAUUUAGGUAGCGCCUCGUGAAUUCAUCUCCGGGGGUAGAGCACUGUUUCGGCAAGGGGGUCAUCCCGACUUACCAACCCGAUGCAAACUGCGAAUACCGGAGAAUGUUAUCACGGGAGACACACGGCGGGUGCUAACGUCCGUCGUGAAGAGGGAAACAACCCAGACCGCCAGCUAAGGUCCCAAAGUCAUGGUUAAGUGGGAAACGAUGUGGGAAGGCCCAGACAGCCAGGAUGUUGGCUUAGAAGCAGCCAUCAUUUAAAGAAAGCGUAAUAG